CAUGCUGACCGUGGGGCUUGGAGUUUAUCCGGGGUACUCCAGGUUGAAUGGGUAGAGCAGAAUUUUUCUAAAUAGAUGACGACAAAAAAGUUUAAAAUUUGACUUGAAGGGGGAAAAUCCCACAGAUUAAUGAGACAAUAAUCUCAGAUUAACAAGUCAUCUAAGUACAAUCUAUACUGAGCUAUGAUAAUGCAGAUAACAUAACGACGAAGGUAGGAGAAACAAUCGAAAAACUGAGGCGCAGGCAUUAGACAAUGCUGAAACUCGCGAGGUUAAAUUGGAUGAUUGCAAUCCAGCAAGCUUCUAACUUUAUGAUGCUCUUGCAUGUGAUGUUGGAAUCGCAUCAAAAACGAGUUGGAUUCGCCAGUCCUCGUCUAGAAUUUCGGAUCGAUAUUGUUCUUGGAUUAGGGCUAACAACCGGGUGGUCCAGAUGUUGAUAUCCGCAGGGCUAACCUCAAAAAAUGCAGAGGGCGGAGGCACAAUGCCUGAUGUGACGUAUCCGUCUAUUUUUAAUAGUUCUUUAUUUGGUAUUGACGCUUCAUCAUCUUGCUUCGUCCAGGAAAGAGCGAGUCCAUGGAGUGCAGAUGCACUUGGUAUCACCUCCAAUGGUAGCUGAUUUGUUAGUAUACGUUUACUCUUGAAGCCGAUUUGUGGUGGCCAAUUUUGGCGCAUCAAAUAUUCCCUAGCAUCUUCUGAACCCAU
rnacentral:sRNA from 1 species